rnacentral:pre_miRNA from 1 species
UCUUAUGGAUGAGCAACGGAAAUGAUUUCUUAAGGUGGAAACUACUCCUAGUGAAGAUGCUGUGAA